rnacentral:rRNA from 1 species
UUGAACGCUGGCGGAAUGCUUUACACAUGCAAGUCGAGCGGCAGCGCGGGGCAACCUGGCGGCGAGCGGCGAACGGGUGAGUAAUGCAUCGGAACAUGUCCAUGUCGUGGGGGAUAGCCCGGCGAAAGCCGGAUUAAUACCGCAUACGCCCGAGAGGGGAACGCAGGGGACCGCAAGGCCUUGCGCGAUUGGGUUGGCCGAUGUCCGAUUAGCUUGUUGGUGAGGUAAAGGCUUACCAAGGCGAUGAUCGGUAGCUGGUCUGAGAGGAUGAUCAGGCACACUGGGACGGAGAAACGGCCCAGACGCCUACGGGAGGCAGCAGGGGGGAAUUUUGGACAAUGGGGGCAACCCUGAUCCAGCCAUGCCGCGGGAGGGAAGAAGGCCUUCGGGUUGUAAAGCUCUUUUGUCCGGAGCGAAACGGUACGGGUGAAUAUCCCGGGCUACUGACGGUACCGGAAGAAUAAGCACCGGCUAACUACGU